UGUGGGAGCGGGCUUGCUCGCGAAUGCAGUGUGUCAGUCAAUAUUGAUGUCGACUGACACACUGCAUUCGCGAGCAAGCCCGCUCCCACA
rnacentral:antisense_RNA from 1 species